CAAGCAAGCGAACAAGCAAAAAACAAAAAAGAAAAACAGAACAAAAAGUGUAAAGAAGGCAUAGCCAAAAUCCCUACGCAUUCUGAAGAACUUGCAAUUUACUUGAUUUAGUGGCCCAUUUUUGUUGUUGUUCCACUGAAAAUCAAUGGCUUUUUAACUUUUGAGUUUGUUUGGGAUUUUUUUUUUUUUUUUUUACAAAUAUCCUUUUUCUAAAAUAAGGGUCAAACCUCUGCACGGACAGACCACAGGGACUGGGGAGCGCCGCCUUGUGUAGACCUCAUGCUGCCUCGAGGUUUUGUCUUUCUCCAGACUGCUGUGCUGCUGCAUGACCACAUAAUGGAGUAUUUCGUUUAUUGUGUUAACCUAAAAAUGUAGUGUUUAUGAUGCUUGAGUGCAAUUUGUGAAGGAUCCAGAAAAUCUUCCCAGGAUUUAGCUAAGGAAAUGGUUAUAACCAAUUAACACUGAACUUUUUGGACAAUAUUUUAAGACUUCACUGACAUAAUGCCUGCGCACUGUCAAAGUGGAAAAGCUAUACAGUAAAACUGACCCCAGAAGCAAUGAUCAAUUAAUCGAAGAGUGAAAAUGGAAACCAAUUAUUCUGACCUAUUGCACUCAUGUGAAAGCCACGAUCCUUAAUCUGCUUUGUCACAAUGAUUAUGACCGUUUUGUCUCCACCAUUUUGCAUCUUAGUAUUCCAGAAAUUUUAUCCAACGUUUUUAACGUGGAAAGUAGAAUGCAAUCUCUUCUGGUAGAGCUACAAGAAAUCUUUUAAGACUUUGUUCUUUUUACAGUUCUGUCAAAAUAGAUUUAGCAAGUAGUUUGCAUAUUAUUU
rnacentral:lncRNA from 1 species